AAACUGCGAUACGUAGUGUGAAUUGCAGAAUUCAGUGAAUCAUCGAAUCUUUGAACGCAAAUUGCGCUACUGGGUAUUCCCGGUAGCAUGCUUGGCUGAGUAUCAUCUGGAUAAAUCACAAAAAGUUUUUUUUGUGGAUAUGAGGCGUCACAUUUUUAAUUUUUAUUUUUUAAAAAUGGGUCCCUUUAAAUUUAGUAUGGUAAAAAAAAUAAAAUGGAUAUUUAACCCUGUUCUUUUGUACCAACUAGUGUGUUAAUUGUCCGCUUUGGGCAUCUUUUUAUACGCUAUGCUUGGGAACAAGGACGUUUAAAAAAGGGGUUUUAUAUUCUUUUUUUUUUUUUUACCUUUUAAAUACCCAACUCUCCUUUUGAAACUUUGAUCUCAGCUCAAGCAAGACUAC
rnacentral:misc_RNA from 1 species